rnacentral:rRNA from 1 species
UUCGGUCCCUAUCCGCCGUGGGCGCAGGAUGCUUGAGGGGAGCUGUCCCUAGUACGAGAGGACCGGGAUGGACGCACCGCUGGUGAUCCGGUUGUGGCGCCAGCCGCACCGCCGGGUAGCUAUGUGCGGACAGGAUAACCGCUGAAAGCAUAUAAGCGGGAAGCCAGCCCCGAGAUAAGGCAUCCCCGGGCCGCGAGGCCCCUGAAGGCCCCUCGUAGACGACGAGGUUGAUAGGCCGGGUGUGGAAGCGCCGUAAGGCGUGGAGCUAACCGGUACUAAAUGGCCGUGCGGCUUGACCAUA